UACGGAGGGUGCGAGCGUUGUCCGGAAUUACUGGGCGUAAAGCGUGCGCAGGCGGCGCGUUAAGACAGGUGUGAAAGCCCCGAGCUUAACUUGGGAAUUGCGCUUGUGACUGGCGAGCUGGAGUGUGGCAGAGGGAGGUGGAAUUCCACGUGUAGCAGUGAAAUGCGUAGAGAUGUGGAGGAACACCGAUGGCGAAGGCAGCCUCCUGGGCCAGCACUGACGCUCAUGCACGAAAGCGUGGGGAGCAAACAGG
rnacentral:rRNA from 1 species